AACGAACGCUGGCGGCAGGCCUAACACAUGCAAGUCGAGCGCCCAGCAAUGGGAGCGGCAGACGGGUGAGUAACACGUGGGAACCUUCCCUAUAGUACGGAAUAGCCCAGGGAAACUUGGAGUAAUACCGCAUACGCCCGAGAGGGGAAAGAUUUAUCGCUAUAGGAUGGGCCCGCGUAGGAUUAGCUAGUUGGUGAGGUAAUGGCUCACCAAGGCGACGAUCCUUAGCUGGUCUGAGAGGACGACCAGCCACACUGGGACUGAGACACGGCCCAGACUCCUACGGAGGCAGCAGUGGGAAUAGUUGGAC
rnacentral:rRNA from 1 species